AGGACGAACGCUGGCGGCGUGCUUAACACAUGCAAGUCGAGCGGAAAGGCCCUUCGGGGUACUCGAGCGGCGAACGGGUGAGUAACACGUGAGUAACCUGCCCCUAGCUCUGGGAUAGCUCCGGGAAACCGGGAUUAAUACCAGAUACGACCACUUUAGACAUCUGUCGUGGUGGGAAGGAUUCCGGCUAGGGAUGGGCUCGCGGCCUAUCAGCUUGUUGGUGGGGUAACGGCCUACCAAGGCGACGACGGGUA
rnacentral:rRNA from 1 species